rnacentral:rRNA from 1 species
AAUCAACGCUGGCGGCGUGCCUCAGACAUGCAAGUCGAACGAUUAAACUCGCCUUCGGGUGAGAUAUAAAGUGGCGCACGGGUGAGUAACACGUAAGUAAUCUACCUUCGAGUGGGGAAUAACGUCCGGAAACGGACGCUAAUACCGCAUAAUGCAGCGGCACCUAAUGGUGACAGUUGUUAAAGAUUUAUCACUUGAAGAGGAGCUUGCGGUAGAUUAGCUAGUUGGUAAGGUAAUGGCUUACCAAGGCUACGAUCUGUAACCGGUCUAAGAGGACGGUCGGUCACACUGACACUGAAUAACGGGUCAGACUCCUACGGGAGGCAGCAGUCGGGAAUUUUGGGCAAUGGGCGAAAGCCUGACCCAGCAACGCCGCGUGAGGGAUGAAGUAUCUCGGUAUGUAAACUUCGAAAGAAUGGGAAGAAUCAAUGACGGUACCAUUUAUAAGCUCCGGCUAACUACGUGCCAGCAGCCGCCGUAAUAC